GCCAAAAUGAUGAGUUUGUUUAGAUCUGAAUUCAAUUUUAGAUGUUGAAUCACAUCUUGUGUUUUAUGGUCUUCAAAGUUCUCUGAUUGGC